GGAGGAGUUGGCCAGGAUGGGACCACUCUUUGGAAGAAUGUAGGAAUUGACCUAUCAUGAACAAUAGCAAUCUGUUAGACCUCAAGUAUGUCACUUACAAUACUGUGUAUAAGUCUUAGGCAGUCAAAGAAAAUGUUUAAAUGGUCUUCAAGUUGGUAUACAACUAUGACAUGUCUGUAAAAGAAUUAAUUUAGUAAUUUCAAAACCUCUGCUAAAAUCAGCCCAGUAUUUUCAGCAUCCAAAACACUAAUGUAUUUUUUGACUGGAUCACUACCCCACCUUGUUUGGGUAAUCAAUACCUCAAGUGAUUUAACUAAUUAAGUUAAUUGUUUGAGCCAGGGAUGAAAUUUAAUGAAGAGAUGGAAUAGCUGAGGUGCCCCUGAGGAGAGGUUUGGGAAUCAAAGUAGAAUUCUUCUAGCCAUCCAACCAGAUAUCUGUAACUUAAAGUAAUAUGAGAGUGGAAAUUCUUUUUUAUUUCUUAUUGUGUUGCUGUUAAAUGGCAUAUAUUCUAAUGUCAUGUUUUGUUUUAUUGUUUUUUUCUGAGCAAAUACUUACUACCCAAACAAAUUGUCUUAAACAUUUUCUUUACCACAGUACUGUAUGUUGCAUCACCUCUUCAGUAACAGCCCUGAAAAUUGUACCUGCUACCUCUUUAUCUCCAACCUCUCUAGCUACCUCUUAUCCACAUAAUCUAUUUCUCUACCUCUGCACCACAUCAGUCCGCAAUGCGUAAGGUGGCCAAUGAAAAGGUGCUCCCUGUUGAUGUCCCCUCCCUUUGCUGCAUACCAUCCGAGACAAAGUGCAAAGAGAAGUUUGCCAAUGGGGCGCCGGUGCUGAAGGACAACUUCAAUAGAGAGAAAGGGGACAAGUAUAGGCUACAGAAAAUAGCAAUUAACUGUGAAUUUGUUUUGGUGAAUGUAGUAGAUGUAUCUUAUGUAUAUGUACUUGCCUAUUAAGCUUUUUCUGUUUUAUACCAACAACAAUGCUGGAUAUUGCCACUGUGUUGGAUUUUUAGUUCAGUUUGACAGCAUCUUAACUUUUCAUUAGUUUAUAAUCUUUAAUAUGAUCUCUCUACAGGCCACAAGGUGGCAACAUAUGGAUGUGUAUUUCAAUUACAUGCUAAAUAUGUCUGCGUUUAGCUGGUGUUUCUGGUAAUUGUAUAAUGCGUGUGAAUUUAUGUUAUGGCUUAUAAAACCAGAAGCUUUAGUCCAGGAAUUCAACUAUUGCUGUUCUAUAAAUUAUAAAUAUGAGAAAUGCAUAUGUUUAUUAAAUGUGUAUGUUCAUAAUAAUGAUCAUUAUCAUUGUGAUUCUGUGGUUUGCUUCAUUGCUAUUGUGUAUACUACUUUUAAGUUGAUCUCAAAAGACUGUUUUUUUGUUUUUUUUUUAAUGUUGAUGCUCAGGGCUUUUUAAUGUUUACUCAGUCGCCACUUUAUUAGGUACGCCUAGCUAAUACUGUUUAGGACCCUCUUUUACCACCAGAACUACUCAAAAGUGGAUGAGUUUGUGUUUAGUGUGUUUGCGGAAAUCAUUUUGCACACAUCAGUACUGUGUUAUUAAUUUUGCACUUGUUGCCUUCCUGUUAGCUUUAUAGAGUCAGAGAAGAAAGGCCAGACCUCGGAAAUGCCAGGGGUGGCAUGUUUUUUUUUUCUUCUCAUCACGUGAUUCUCUGUGAAAUUCACACUUUAGUGUGUGAAAAUCCCAGGACGUUUCUGAGAUGCUGGAACUGAUGUUUGGCACCAACAAGCAUACCAUGUUCAAAAUUGCUUAGGUCAGGCAUUUUAGCCGUGCUGAUACUUAAUUGAAAAGUAAGUGAGCCUCUUGACCAGGUCUGUGUGCUGCAUGUAUUCAUUUGUUGAAUGCGCAUAACUGCUAAGUUUUUACUGGUGUGAGAGUUUGGGGAACAUGUAAAAAGUGUAUGACAAAAAUCUGCUACAAAAUAAGAAAACUAUCAGGUUGAAGACACUGUCACAGGUUUAACAAGCUAAGAAGACCCAGGGUUUUUUUUUAAAUGGUAAUAAACAGAGCAAGGAAACUGCAUAAUUUUGGUUGUUAUAGAUGUUUGUCAGCUUUAAUUUGUCAUCUAGUACAGGUGCACAUCUGAAUCGCCAUUACAGAGGACUGCCUUGGCAGACUGAUCCGUCUGGCUUUACUUAGCAUAUAGUUGCCCGUGUUUGGGAUGUGUUGACAGGGAAUGAAAACGCCGUGUUCUACCUGUUUUUUUUCCCCAUACACUCUUCAGCUUUCUCCAUUUUAGCUGUAUUCUGAGCCGUGUGUUUGGUUAGAAAUGUUUAAAAGACACAUUUGGCUUGGCCUAUGCAGGGGCAUUCCUCGGCUGAUAGGCUCAGCCUUCAUAUGCUGUUUACUGCACCAUUUGAAACCUUAUAUGCAACUCGGUCAUUUAAUGGAUGUUAUUUUCAUAUACAUCAAGUGAAAUGUGCAUAUGAGAAAGCUGGGGGGAAAAAAACAUACCGGUCAUCGACACUUUCAUAACGAUUAAGUUUGUUACAGUCGCACUGACAUAUAUUGUAUUUCUAAUACAAUAAUCAUUUUCUGAUAUAUAUGACAUUUGAAUGUGUGCAUAUACCAAAAAAAUAGUGGAGGCAUUUGUAAUUAUACAUUCUGUUUAAUGGGGAUCUUGAUAGUAACACUAAGACUUGACUAAUUCAACUUGAUAGAUUUUCUUACUGUGAUGCCAUAUAUCUUAAAAUAAAAUAUCCUUGUAUGUGUAUUAUAUCAUGUACAGAAUAUCUGUUGAGAAAAAUAAUCUGAUAAUGCUGAAGGUUUACUAUGCUGGCAGAAAAGAUGAAACAAAUGUGAUAUUCAAAUGCCAUGUUGCCGUGAGCCUUAGUGAAGGACUGGUGAACUUUAAUAGUACUUUAAUAGAUGGACAUUAAGUUCUGAUGUAUUACUGAUGGGGUUUGUUGAACGGAAGUCUGAUGCUAACAAUAACUGUAAAUUAUGAGAAGCUUCUCAGUAAUGUGUCUUGAGUUUCCUUCUGUGUUAUAUAUGUCUGGAGUUUCCUUUUAAGGUAUCUUGUGUAAUGUUUAAUUCUCCCCAACCCCCCCACCCCGCCCCCCCCCGUCUCUCCUACACUUGUACGGUUUUCGAUUACCUUGUCAUAUGCAUGAUUUUUAUUCCAUUACAUUCAUUUGCUUUUUUCCAAUGUAAUGGAAUCAAUCUGGGUUGUUAAAAGAAACUGACCAGUAAAAUAUCUGAAUGUUGUAUUUUUUUUUAAAUAAAGAGAAGAACAUGAUGCACAAAGUGAGAAGCUCUUGACUGAUUUGCCACAUAAUUUAUGUCACAAUCUUUAAUAGGAGUACAAGGGGCAGUUGCUCUAGUAGACGAUCUAUUUCUGUAUCCACUUACAAGUGUUUGUCUACCUGUGCUUACAUUUAUGUAUAACUGAUAAAGCAGGGGUAGAGGCAUGUGAGCGAAUAGGCAGCAGGGCCUAAAAGGUGACACUUGAGAGGUGAAGGUUAUCAGUAACUGACGUGAUGAGCUGUGUGGUGGGGGGUGGAGGUCGAAUUUCAGCAUGACAGCGUUCCCGAAACUUUCAAGACAGAGUGUGGAAGUUGUGGCGGUGGGGGUUUGAAAACACUGACCUACAAACCACUGUAAUUGGUCAGCACAAGUGUUCAGCAUAAGUGUCCGGGGUGGGCAUUCAUCUGCUCCAGUGAGGUGUAGGGAUCCACAUAUCCUGACAGUGGAAGGGGGGGGGGUUGUGAUGUGGGACAGAUGUAUGAAGGCCAUGUGUGGGACAGACAGACCGAUGCCCAGAGGUGGGGGGGAGAGCUAGGCGCCAUGCAGAGCUGUGGGGGAACAACAUUAAACUCACAUGCUGCUACAGUAUGAAACUCCGACCAGUUCGGCGGACUGAAUGACUGAGCACAUUAAAUCAAAUACAGCUCAUGUGAGGAGUGAAGUCCAAUAGAGUAAUUUGCCAUUAUUUGGUUGCAUGCAGAGUUUUAGGGGGUCAGCUGUUUUGGUGGGUGGGUUAUUAAAAUGCUGCUGGGGGCAAAAUGAAGAAAUAGCAUUUCUGUGAACAGCAUAUCCGUCCACCAGAGAGUGAUGUCACUCUGUAGUGAGCCCUUCAAAAGCCACUGAUAUAACCUGUCAGAGCGUCUAUUUGAGAUGACAUAAGCAAAGCAGACAGACGCUUAUUGGGUGGACUUGACUGAUUUGCCAUAUAAUUUCCGUCACAAUCUUUAAUAGGAGUGCAAGGGGUGGUCGAUCUAGUAGAUGAUUUAUUUCUGUAUCCACUUACAAGUGUUUGUCUACCUGUGCUUACAUUUGCAUGUACAUGUAUAACUGAUAAAGCAGGGGUAGAGGCAUGUGAGCAAGUGGGCAGCAGGUGAAGGUCGUCAUGAACUAUUAUUUUUAUCACCACUGAUUGAUAUGUAAAAAUUAUACAUGACAAUAUAGUUAAUGUAGU